GAUGAACGCUGGCGGCGUGCCUAAUACAUGCAAGUCGAGCGAACAGACGAGGAGCUUGCUCCUCUGACGUUAGCGGCGGACGGGUGAGUAACACGUGGAUAACCUACCUAUAAGACUGGGAUAACUUCGGGAAACCGGAGCUAAUACCGGAUAAUAUAUUGAACCGCAUGGUUCAAUAGUGAAAGACGGUUUUGCUGUCACUUAUAGAUGGAUCCGCGCCGCAUUAGCUAGUUGGUAAGGUAACGGCUUACCAAGGCAACGAUGCGUAGCCGACCUGAGAGGGUGAUCGGCCACACUGGAACGGAGACACGGUCCAGACUCCUACGGGAGGCAGCAGUAGGGAAUCUUCCGCAAUGGGCGAAAGCCUGACGGAGCAACGCCGCGUGAGUGAUGAAGGUCUUCGGAUCGUAAAACUCUGUUAUUAGGGAAGAACAAAGGUGUAAGUAACUAUGCACGUCUUGACGGUACCUAAUCAGAAAGCCACGGCUAACUACGUG
rnacentral:rRNA from 1 species